rnacentral:rRNA from 1 species
GACGAACGCUGGCGGCGCGCCUAACACAUGCAAGUCGAACGGGCGAGAGAGAGCUUGCUUUCUCGAGCGAGUGGCGAACGGGUGAGUAACGCGUGAGGAACCUGCCUCAAAGAGGGGGACAACAGUUGGAAACGACUGCUAAUACCGCAUAAGCCCACGACCCGGCAUCGGGUAGAGGGAAAAGGAGCAAUCCGCUUUGAGAUGGCCUCGCGUCCGAUUAGCUAGUUGGUGAGGUAACGGCCCACCAAGGCGACGAUCGGUAGCCGGACUGAGAGGUUGAACGGCCACAUUGGGACUGAGACACGGCCCAGACUCCUACGGGAGGCAGCAGUGGGGAAUAUUGCACAAUGGGGGAAACCCUGAUGCAGCGACGCCGCGUGGAGGAAGAAGGUCUUCGGAUUGUAAACUCCUGUUGUUGAGGAAGAUAAUGACGGUACUCAACAAGGAAGUGACGGCUAACUACGU